rnacentral:rRNA from 1 species
GGUUAAGCGACUAAGCGUACACGGUGGAUGCCUAGGCAGUCAGAGGCGAUGAAGGGCGUGCUAAUCUGCGAAAAGCGUCGGUAAGCUGAUAUGAAGCGUUAUAACCGACGAUACCCGAAUGGGGAAACCCAGUGCAAUACGUUGCACUAUCGUUAGAUGAAUACAUAGUCUAACGAGGCGAACCGGGGGAACUGAAACAUCUAAGUACCCCGAGGAAAAGAAAUCAACCGAGAUUCCCCCAGUAGCGGCGAGCGAACGGGGAGGAGCCCAGAGUCUGAAUCAGUUUGUGUGUUAGUGGAAGCGUCUGGAAAGUCGCACGGUACAGGGUGAUAGUCCCGUACACCAAAAUGCACAGGCUGUGAACUCGAUGAGUAGGGCGGGACACGUGACAUCCUGUCUGAAUAUGGGGGGACCAUCCUCCAAGGCUAAAUACUCCUGACUGACCGAUAGUGAACCAGUACCGUGAGGGAAAGGCGAAAAGAACCCCGGCGAGGGGAGUGAAAUAGAACCUGAAACCGUGUACGUACAAGCAGUGGGAGCACCUUCGUGGUGUGACUGCGUACCUUUUGUAUAAUGGGUCAGCGACUUAUAUUUUGUAGCAAGGUUAACCGAAUAGGGGAGCCGUAGGGAAACCGAGUCUUAACUGGGCGUCUAGUUGCAAGGUAUAGACCCGAAACCCGGUGAUCUAGCCAUGGGCAGGUUGAAGGUUGGGUAACACUAACUGGAGGACCGAACCGACUAAUGUUGAAAAAUUAGCGGAUGACUUGUGGCUGGGGGUGAAAGGCCAAUCAAACCGGGAGAUAGCUGGUUCUCCCCGAAAGCUAUUUAGGUAGCGCCUCGUGAACUCAUCUUCGGGGGUAGAGCACUGUUUCGGCUAGGGGGCCAUCCCGGCUUACCAAACCGAUGCAAACUCCGAAUACCGAAGAAUGUUAUCACGGGAGACACACGGCGGGUGCUAACGUCCGUCGUGAAGAGGGAAACAACCCAGACCGCCAGCUAAGGUCCCAAAGUCAUGGUUAAGUGGGAAACGAUGUGGGAAGGCACAGACAGCCAGGAUGUUGGCUUAGAAGCAGCCAUCAUUUAAAGAAAGCGUAAUAGCUCACUGGUCGAGUCGGCCUGCGCGGAAGAUGUAACGGGGCUAAACCAUGCACCGAAGCUGCGGCAGCGACACUUAGGUGUUGUUGGGUAGGGGAGCGUUCUGUAAGCCGUUGAAGGUGACCUGUGAGGGUUGCUGGAGGUAUCAGAAGUGCGAAUGCUGACAUAAGUAACGAUAAUGCGGGUGAAAAACCCGCACGCCGGAAGACCAAGGGUUCCUGUCCAACGUUAAUCGGGGCAGGGUGAGUCGACCCCUAAGGCGAGGCUGAAAAGCGUAGUCGAUGGGAAACAGGUUAAUAUUCCUGUACUUGGUGUUACUGCGAAGGGGGGACGGAGAAGGCUAGGCUGGCCGGGCGACGGUUGUCCCGGUUUAAGCGUGUAGGGGGAGUGACCAGGUAAAUCCGGUUGCUUAUCAACCCUGAGGCGUGAUGACGAUGCACCACGGUGCAGAAGCAGUUGAUGCCAUGCUUCCAGGAAAAGCCUCUAAGCAUCAGGUAACAUUAAAUCGUACCCCAAACCGACACAGGUGGUCAGGUAGAGAAUACUCAGGCGCUUGAGAGAACUCGGGUGAAGGAACUAGGCAAAAUGGUGCCGUAACUUCGGGAGAAGGCACGCUGGCGUUAGGUGAAAGGACUAGCUCCUGGAGCUGAAGCCAGUCGCAGAUACCAGCUGGCUGCAACUGUUUAAUAAAAACACAGCACUGUGCAAACACGAAAGUGGACGUAUACAGUGUGACGCCUGCCCGGUGCUGGAAGGUUAAUUGAUGGGGUCAGCCGCAAGGCGAAGCUCUUGAUCGAAGCCCCAGUAAACGGCGGCCGUAACUAUAACGGUCCUAAGGUAGCGAAAUUCCUUGUCGGGUAAGUUCCGACCUGCACGAAUGGCGUAAUGAUGGCCAGGCUGUCUCCACCCGAGACUCAGUGAAAUUGAACUCGCUGUGAAGAUGCAGUGUACCCGCGGCAAGACGGAAAGACCCCGUGAACCUUUACUAUAGCUUGACACUGAACAUUGAGCCUUGAUGUGUAGGAUAGGUGGGAGGCCUUGAAGUGUGGACGCCAGUCUGCAUGGAGCCAACCUUGAAAUACCACCCUUUAAUGUUUGAUGUUCUAACUCGGCCCCAUGAUCUGGGGUGAGGACAGUGUCUGGUGGGUAGUUUGACUGGGGCGGUCUCCUCCCAAAGAGUAACGGAGGAGCACGAAGGUUAGCUAAUCACGGUCGGACAUCGUGAGGUUAGUGCAAAGGCAUAAGCUAGCUUGACUGCGAGAGUGACGGCUCGAGCAGGUACGAAAGUAGGUCUUAGUGAUCCGGUGGUUCUGAAUGGAAGGGCCAUCGCUCAACGGAUAAAAGGUACUCCGGGGAUAACAGGCUGAUACCGCCCAAGAGUUCAUAUCGACGGCGGUGUUUGGCACCUCGAUGUCGGCUCAUCACAUCCUGGGGCUGAAGUAGGUCCCAAGGGUAUGGCUGUUCGCCAUUUAAAGUGGUACGCGAGCUGGGUUUAGAACGUCGUGAGACAGUUCGGUCCCUAUCUGCCGUGGGCGUUGGAAGAUUGAGAGGGGCUGCUCCUAGUACGAGAGGACCGGAGUGGACGAAUCACUGGUGUUCGGGUUGUCAUGCCAAUGGCAUUGCCCGGUAGCUAAAUUCGGAAGAGAUAACCGCUGAAAGCAUCUAAGCGGGAAACUUGCCUCGAGAUGAGUCUUCCCUGGGGCUUAAAGCCCCUGAAGGAACGUUAAAGACUAUGACGUUGAUAGGCUGGGUGUGUAAGUGCAGCGAUGUAUUGAGCUAACCAGUACUAAUGAUCCGUGAGGCUUAACCUU